UGGGGAAUAUUGGACAAUGGGCGAAAGCCUGAUCCAGCAAUACCGCGUGUGUGAAGAAGGCCUUAGGGUUGUAAAGCACUUUCAAUUGGAAGGAAAAACUCAUGGCCAAUACCCAUGAGCUUGACAUUACCUUUAGAAGAAGCACCGGCUAACUCCGUGCCAGCAGCCGCGGUAAUACGGAGGGUGCGAGCGUUAAUCGGAAUUACUGGGCGUAAAGCGUGCGUAGGCGGCUCGUUAAGUCAGAUGUGAAAGCCCUGGGCUCAACCUGGGAACGGCAUUUGAAACUGGCGAGCUAGAGUUUGGGAGAGGAGAGUGGAAUUUCAGGUGUAGCGGUGAAAUGCGUAGAGAUCUGAAGGAACACCAGUGGCGAAGGCGACUCUCUGGCCUAAAACUGACGCUGAGGUACGAAAGCGUGGGUAGCAAACAGG
rnacentral:rRNA from 1 species